CGGUCUGAUGACGCACCGUCCUCGUAAGACGGUGCAGGGACACGGUGUGAGGAGUCUCCCGUCAAACCCUGACACGAUUAACCGGAUUAAAAAUAGUUUUUUCAAGGAGUUUUCCAACUCUUCUGUGCGUGAAAUGAUUAAAAACGGCCACCACGCUGCCGACGAGCAGCGGGGCGGAGGCGACUGCAAGCCGGCGAGGUCACACUGCAGCCCGGAGAAAAGGAAGCGACAGGUCCGGUUGUGGUGCGACGGCUGUUACGACAUGGUCCACUACGGUCAUUCCAAUCAGCUGCGGCAAGCAAAAGGCAUGGGAGAUUACCUCAUUGUUGGAGUGCAUACCGAUGCGGAAAUUUCCAAGCACAAAGGUCCUCCAGUGUUCACUCAGGAAGAACGCUACAAGAUGGUGGGUGCUAUCAAGUGGGUGGAUGAGAUUGUGGAAGGAGCUCCCUACGUCACCACACUGGAGACUUUGGACAAGUUCAACUGUGACUUCUGCGUACAUGGUGAUGACAUCACACUGACAGUGGAUGGUAAGGACACGUACGAAGAGGUGAAGCGAAUGGGACGCUAUCGGGAAUGUAAGCGCACUCAGGGAGUCUCCACCACAGACCUUGUAGGACGUAUGCUCCUCAUGACCAAGUCACAUCACAGCAACAUGGACAACCCAGAUUACCAGCAGUAUACAGACAAUUUUGGCAAGGGUCCUAAAGGACACAGUCCAUGGACUGGCGUGUCUCAGUUCUUGCAGACGUCCCAGAAAAUCAUCCAGUUCGCCUCAGGAAAGGAGCCUCAGCCUGGAGACACCAUCAUCUAUGUCGCCGGGGCAUUUGACCUCUUUCACAUCGGCCAUGUUGACUUUCUAUCAAUGGUCUACAAGUUGGCAGAGAGACCAUACGUCAUUGUUGGUCUGCACUUCGAUCAGGAGGUCAACCGCUACAAGGGGAAGAACUACCCAAUCAUGAACGUUCAUGAGAGGACUUUGAGCGUCUUGGCCUGUCGGUAUGUGUCAGAAGUAGUGAUUGGUGCUCCUUAUGCUGUGACCAAAGACCUGCUGGAUCAUUUCAAGGUGGACAUGGUUUGUCAUGGCAUGACUAAAGUGUUUCCUGACAAAGAUGGAUCAGAGCCUUAUGCUGAGCCCAGGAAGAGAAGAAUAUUCAAGAGCAUUGAUAGCGGGAACAAUCUCACUACUGAUGACAUUGUGCAGAGGAUCAUUGCAAACAGGUUGCAGUUUGAAGCCAGGAACCAGAAGAAGGAGGCCAAGGAGAUGGCAGUGAUGGAGGCCAUGAAGAAGAGAGAAGAAUCUGCUGACUAGACAAAUGAGGAACACAUUCUACAUAUUCUAGGUCCGAGUGUAGUGGGUGGGAGGUGUUGUCCAUAAUGGCUAGAAGUUUUGCUAGACUUCUCCUCUCUGACACCACCGCCAGAGAGUCUUGCUCCACUCCCACCACGUUACUGGCCUUCUCAACCAACUUGUCCAGUCUGUCUGCGUCCCUUGCUCUCAGCCCGCUGCCCCAGCAGGCCACGGCGUACAAGAAGGCGCCCGCCACCACCGACUCGUAGAACAUCUUCAACAUCUUUGUACAGACGUUGAAGGAUCCUAGCCUCCUGAGGAAGUAGAGGUGGCUCUGUCCCUUCUUGUAGAGUGCCUCAGCGUGUUAGAGUAAUUCCGUCAGUAAUUCAAUUACUUUUUUUGGGUAAAAUUAACGGGUAACUAACAUUACUUUUUAAAAGUAAUUUUCAGAACAUUGCAUCUGAAAAAACUGCAAAAAGGGGGGAAAAAAAUGCAAAUUUGAUGUAUGUUUGACAACUUGUUCCACUUACGUGUCUGUGUAACGGAGAUAAAAAUGCACUUUAUUAAUAUUUCGGGAUGUUUUUAUUUUGUUAUUGAAAUAUUGUGUUUGUGUGAAUUUUAUCUCAAAAAAGUUAUUUAUUUGUGUUGAUUGACUGUUAUUUUAUUUGACUCCUUCCUGUCAUGGCAUACCGUAGUGAUGGGUCCGGCAACACCGAUGCAUCGGCGCAUGCGUCGAGCUCAUAGAGCAAAACCCUGUGUCGGUGAGCGUACCGCUUUUAGAAAGUCACGUGACCGAUCAUGAGCUGUUUCGGCCACGUGACCAAUACGCGAACUGUGUCACACUGACGCCUCCUCUGUGCCCUGUGAGCGGGUCUUUUCUACAGCCGGAGAAAUAAUAACUAAGAAGAGAAAUCGGCUAAAAUUUAAUACGUUGGAAAAACUGUUUUUUUUUAAAUAAAAAUAUGUAAAAAAAAAAUUUUUAAAUUCCCAGUCUACAGGCAUCCUCAUCCACAACACGUUCUCUUAGAUUUACAUGUUCACAUUAUUUAUUGACUGUAUCUAAAAAAUAUAAAAAUAUAUUUUUAUCUAAAGGACGAUAUGAAAUAAUCCUGAAUGAAAUACAAAGACUUUGUUUAUAUUAUUGUAUAUACUAGGUCAGGGGUGGGCAACCCGCGGCUCUAGAGCCGCAUGCGGCUCUUUAGCGCCGCCCUAGUGGCUCUCUGGAGCUUUUUCAGAAAUGUAUGAAAAAUGGAAAAAGAUGAGGGGGAAAAAAAUCUAUUUUUUGUUUUAAUAUGGUUUCUGUAGGAGGACAAACAUGACACAAACCUCCCUAAUUGUUACAAAGCACACUGUUUGUAUUAAACAUGCUUCACUGAUUCGAGUAUUUGGCGAGUGCUGUUUUGUCCUACUAAUUUUGGCAGUCCUUGAACUCACCGUAGUUUGUUUACAUGUAUAACUUUCUCCGACUUUCGAGGAUGUGUUUUAUGCCACUUCUUUUUCUGUCUCAUUUUGUCCACCAAAUUUUUAAGGUUGUGCAUGAAAGGUGAGUUUUGUUGAUGUUAUUGACUUGUUGGAGUGCUAAUCAGACAUAUUUGGUCACUGCAUGACUGCAAGCUAAUCGAUGCUAACAUGCUAUUUAGGCUAGCUAUAUGUACAUAUUGCAUCAUAAUGCCUCAUUUGUAGCUAUAUUUGAGGUCAUUUAGUUUCCUUUAAGUCCUCUUAAUUCAAUUUAUAUCUCAUGACACACUAUCUGUAUGUAAUAUGGCUUUUAAUUUUUUGCGGCUCCAGACAGAUUUUUUUGUUGUAUUUUUGGUCCAAUAUGGCUCUUUCAACAUUUUGGGUUGCCAACCCCUGUACUGGGUCAUAAAAUCAGUGUCAGUUGCCUGUAGGGAUUUUUAAUGUCCAUCAGAUGUCAGUAUUUAGUAACACAGUGUCGACACAGUAUCAAUACAGUUUUGCAAUGUGUCUAAACCAGUGGUUCUCAAACUUUUUUUGUCAUCCCCCACUUUGGACAAGGGGAGUUUUCAAGCCCCACCUGCCCCCAUCACCCCAACAGAGCGCUAAUGCCAAGCUUUAACAUUUUCAAAUUUAUUGAACAUCAAGUUGUAUACAUUCAAACUCAAUAACAUAAAAUAACAUCAAGUUCAAUAAUAAAUAAAAUAACUGUGCAGCUGUGGUAUAACUUGCAUCAAGUUCAAUAAUAAAUAAAAUAACUUCCAUCAAGUUCAAUAAUAAAUAAAACAAAAGUGUUAUAACUUGCAUCAAGUUCAAUAAUAAAUAAAAAAAAGUGUUAUAACUUGCAUCACGUUCAAUAAUAAAUAAAAAAAACUGUUAUAACUUGCAUCAAGUUCAAUAAUACAUCAAAAAAAGUGUUAUAACUUGCAUCACGUUUAAUAAUAAAUCAAAAAAAGUGUUACAACUUGCAUCAAGUUCAAUAAUAAAUCAAAUAAAAGUGUUAUAACUUGCAUCAAGUUCAAUAAUAAAUCAAAAAAAGUGUUAUAACUUGCAUCACGUUUAAUAAUAAAUCAAAAAAAGUGUUACAACUUGCAUCAAGUUCAAUAAUAAAUCAAAUAAAAGUGUUAUAACUUGCAUCAAGUUCAAUAAUAAAUAAAAAAAAGUGUUAUAACUUGCAUCAAGUUCAAUAAUAAAUCAAAAAAAGUGUUAUAACUUGCAUCAAGUUCAAAAAUAAAUCAAAAAAAGUGUUAUAACUUGCAUCACGUUCAAUAAUAAAUCAAAAAAAGUGUUAUAACUUGCAUCAAGUUCAAUAAUAAAUCUAAUAACUUGCAUCAAGUUCAAUAAUAAAUCAAAAAAAGGGUUAUAACUUGCAUCAAGUUCAAUAAUAAAUAAAACACAAGUGUUAUAACUUGCAUCAAGUUCAAUAAUAAAUACAUACAAGUGUUAUAACUUGCAUCAAGUUCAAUAAUAAAUCAAAUAACUUGCAUCAAGUUCAAUAAUAAAUAAAAUAAAAGUGCCACUUUGCAAUCUUUGCCAAAAAAAAAAGGAGGAGCUAUGCAUUUGGCAAGACACGGCAAGUGACAGCACUUUGCCCCAGGAGAGCCACCUUGCUUCACUGUGAAACAGCACGGCUGUAUGAUCAGCUCCCAUUUCCUCACACAGUGCAGAGAACAGUCGCGCUUUCAGUGGUCGUGUUUUGAUCAAAUUGACCGCGCUCACAACAUCUGUUAAAACCUCAUUGAGUUCGGGGCUGAGCUGCCUUGACGCGAGUGCUUCCCGGUGAAUGACACAGUGUGUGCCCGUCACAUUUUUGUUUCUCUGCAGGCGCUGGCUCGACGACCUUUGAGGUGUGAGUCACAAAUGUAUAUAUUUGUGUAAUUGUGGUCCACACAUUAGCCUGCUACCCAUCCGCGCGAAAGUUUGUUCCGCUUAGCCCCGCCCCCAUUAGUUACUGUUGCUAUGUCUGUCAAACUUUCGCUUCUACUGAGAAAUUUAAAGCCUACAGUAAAAAUAAGUACCGGUAAUUUCCAUUUAUUUAUAUAGCGGAUUUCACAGACAGAAUCACAAAGUGAUUUACAGUGUGUAUAGAAAAUGAAAGCAUAGUAAAAAAAAAAAAAUCUAAGAAUAUAAUAAUUAAAAAAUUUUUUUAAAGUGAAAUUUCCUCCCGUUCCUCGCGCCCCACCUGUCAUGUCUAUAUUCCCCACCAGUGGGGCGCGCCCCACACUUUGAGAAACGCUGGUCUAAACGCUUCAUGACGCCUCAUCAACCCAUCACUAGCAUACCGUCAGGCUUCCGUAGUUUCCUCUAGCUUCUGUAGCUCCUCCCCUUCCUCCUCACUUCCUGUUUGCGAUGCUGAAGUGACUUGUGUCCAAAUUGGUGUCGUGCUGCGUUUUCUAACAAAAGCGAACGGUUUAUUUUUGUAAUUCUUGCCGUAUAUUGUUUACUUUUUAUGUACCCUUAAGAUAUUUUUGUGUUAUUUUAACAGCAAUUUUGAGCGCUACAAGCGUUGUGCUUGAGUGACAGUGUUGGCGCUAUUUGUUUGAAGCCGUCCUCUUUCAUGUCACGUGACCAUUACGCGGCCUGCGUCCUGUUGGUAAAAAGUAUGUUUUCUAUGUGUAUAAAAAGUAUGUUUUCUAUGUGUAUAAAAAGUAUGUUUUCUAUGUGUAGGGAGCAGGGCGGUACAAGGAGUCACAAAGAAGGAGUUUAUGUCAGUACGUUGCAGAGGAUGCAAGCACAGCCAUUUUUUCAGAAUUCAACGGGGUAUUUUUCCAUCUUCAAUCUUUCCAGUCGUAUGUACUAGGAGGUCCAUGGAGAGCUGAAGCAAAGUCAGUUAUCAAUAAUCCGAGGACCUUCACCCACUGACUGAGUCUCGUUAUCUGCUUCUUCAUCUUCAUUGUCUCCAGAAAGUGCAUUUUCACAUGGAACUUAUGGCAGGUGAAAUCAUGCCACACGUUCAUAUAUUAUGCAGUUGAUCCUUGUUGCUAAAAUGUAAUCCCGGGAUAUUUUUAUCUACUUUAAAGCACUUAGGCAGGGUCCUACUUUCAAUAGGACAUGGAAGAUUUAAUCAUGUGACUAUUUCAUUUGCAUUUCACCUCACACAGAAGAAUUGAUUUCUAUUUAGAUAGCGCUUUUUUCCCGAGAAAAUCAAAGCGCUUUGUAUAGUGAAACCCAUUAUCUACAUUUAAACUAGUGGGUGGGACGGGGCGCAGGGUGUGAAGCAGGCGUGGCCACACUUUUUCUGCAAGCGAGCUACUUUUCAAUUGACCAAGUGGAGGGCAUCUACGUCAUUCAUUAAUAUUUAUUUAUUUAUGAAAGAGACAUUUUUGUUAACAAGUUAAAGGGGAACAUUAUCACCAGACCUAUGUAAGCGUCAAUAUAUACCUUGAUGUUGCAGAAAAAAAACCAUAUAUUUUUUUAACCGAUUUCCGAACUCUUAAAUGGGUGAAUUUUGGCGAAUUAAACGCCUUUCUAAUAUUCGCUCUCGGACGUUGUGACGUCACAUCAAGAAGCAAUCCGCCAUUUUCUCAAACACCGGGUCAAAACAGCUCUGUUAUUUUCCGUUUUUUCGACUGUUUUCCGUACCUUGGAGACAUCAUGCCUCGUCGGUGUGUUGUCGGAGGGUGUAACAACACGAACAGGGACGGAUUCAAGUUGCACCAGUGGCCCAAAGAUGCGAAAGUGGCAAGAAAUUGGACGUUUGUUCCGCACACUUUACCGACGAAAGCUAUGCUACGACAGAGAUGGCAAGAAUGUGUGGAUAUCCUGCGACACUCAAAGCAGAUGCAUUUCCAACUGGACUGGACAGAUCAGCUUUCAGGAAAAGAGAGCGGAUGACGGUAUGUCUACAGAAUAUAUUAAUUGAUGAAAACUGUGUGGAUAUCCUGCGACACUCAAAGCAGAUGCAUUUCCAACGAUAAAGUCAAAGAAAUCUGCCGCCAGACCCCCAUUGAAUCUGCCGGAGUGUGUGAGCAAUUCAGGGACAAAGGACCUCGCUAGCACGGCAAGCAAUGGCGGCAGUGUGUUCCUGCAGACGAGCGAGCUAUCGACCCUAGCUUCCCUGGCCUGCUGACAUCAACUCCAAAACUGGACAGAUCAGCUUUCACGAAAAGAGCGCGGAUGAGGGUAUGUCUACAGAAUAUAUUAAUUGAUGAAAAUUGGGCUGUCUGCACUCUCAAAGUGCAUGUUGUUGCCAAAUGUAUUUCAUAUGCUGUAAACCUAGUUCAUAGUUGUUAGUUUCCUUUAAUGCCAAACAAACACAUACCAAUCGUUGGUUAGAAGGCGAUCGCCGAAUUCGUCCUCGCUUUCUCUCGUGUCGCUGGCUGUCGUGUCGUUUUCGUCGGUUUCGCUUGGUUCAAACCGAUAUGGCUCAAUAGCUUCAGUUUCUUCUUCAAUUUCGUUUUCGCUACCUGCCUCCACACUACAACCAUCCAUUUCAAUACAUUCGUAAUCUGUUGAAUCGCUUAAGCCGCUGAAAUCCGAGUCUGAAUCCGAGCUAAUGUCGCUAUAGCUUGCUGUUCUUUCCGCCAUGUUUGUUUGUGUUGGCUUCACUAUGUGGAUGGGUGGUUAAAAUCAGGCACUUUGAAGCUUUUUUUAGGGAUAUUGCGUGAUGGGUAAAAUUUUGAAAAAAACUUCGAAAAAUAUAAUAAGCCACUGGGAACUGAUUUUUAAUGGUUUUAACAAUUCUGAAAUUGUGAUAAUGUUUCCCUUUAAAGGUGUUUAAUGAUAAUACAGGCAUGUUUAACAUAUAGAUUCCUUUCUUUCAUGAAGACAAGAAUAUAAGUUGGUGUAUUACCUGCUUCUGAUGACUUGGAAUCAGACAGUAGUGAUGAUAACGUCUACAUUUUCAUAUGGAGGAGAAAAAAGUCAUUUCUGUCCAAUACCACAUGAAAGUGGUUGGUUUUUGGCAUCUUAUUUGUCCAGCUUCCAUACUCCUUUUAUACACUUUACAAGAAAUACAUUGGCGGAAAACUCCGUAGCUUGCUAGCUUUCUGAGACUCUUAUUUUGUUAGCGCAGGCAGGAUGAAGUAGCGCUUUUAUUGUGAAGAUAGGAACUGAGCAGUCGGUCUUUAGAGUUUUGACAGCAGGUACUGAGCGAGUCUGUUGAAAUAAAAAGUGUUUCCCGUGUUGUAUA